AUUUUAUCCAACUCUGCUCAUUGCUGCACGGCAAACCCAAGAAUCACAGCCUCCAGACUUUGCACAGCUUCGCUGGUCACUGGCCCUGCCUCCAUUUCAGCUCUGACAACCUCAGAGUUGGUCCAAGGAUGUCAGUGAAGUAUGAAGACCUCCAGUCCUUGGAGAGUGAGAAGAAAAGCCAGGGUUUUAGAAACGGGCUGCCUCCUCCCCCAGCCUUCCUGCAGCAUCUCUGCUCUGGACCCUUCCC